rnacentral:rRNA from 1 species
GUAGGUGGCAAGCGUUGUCCGGAAUUAUUGGGCGUAAAGCGCGCGCAGGUGGGUUCUUUAAGUCUGAUGUGAAAGACCCCCGGGCUCAACCGGGGAGGGUCAUUGGAAACUGGGGAACUUGAGUGCAGGAGAGGAAAGUGGAAUUCCACGUGUAGCGGUGAAAUGCGUAGAUAUGUGGAGGAACACCAGUGGCGAAGGCGACUUUCUGGCCUGUAACUGACACUGAGGCGCGAAAACGUGGGGAGCAAACAGGAUUAGAUACCCUGGUAGUCCACGCCGUAAACGAUGAGUGCUAAGUGUUGGGGGGUUUCCGCCCCUCAGUGCUGCAGCUAACGCAUUAAGCACUCCGCCUGGGGAGUACGGUCGCAAAGACUG